CCGGGCUCUGAUAUCAUAUUAAAAUUUGUGGCCUAUUUUAAUAAGGUCAACCUUGUUAAGAUGAGUAGUCCAAAAUCUUUUAAGUUGGUCAAUAUUUCUGUAUUUAACCGAUGUGAAAUUUUUAUCCCUUAACAGACGGAACCAGUUAUGUGAAGUGAGCUACAGUAAUCGAAGUGCGUGACGAGCAGCUCGUGCCGGGUGUACAUUGCUUCCUUCAUCAAACGGUGCUAGAAUCUAGUGAAAGGUUGAUCUCAAUCACAUUCCUGCUAUGGGUCUUACUGGGGCUGCAAGCACAAUCAAAUGUUGAUCUCAAUCACAUUCCUCGCCCUAUCCCAAGUUCUGUUGUGAUUCUACAUGAGACCCGUCAAGGCUAUCAGGCAACCUCUCCGAUAAUUUGUCUCCCCAUUUCCUGAAAAAUAUAGCUUCACUUGCAAUGUUGAUGUUGUAUUAAAAUAACAUGUUUGGUCAGAUUUUUUUACUUUCGUUAUACAAAGCGAAGUAGCGCAAAUUAUUUAGUUCCAGAAAAUGAGUCUAUAAUCAUGUCAAAGGCUUAAGAUAGUCUCAAACAGUUGUUCAUUUUUCUGGUUUUUUAUUUUACUUGCUAUUUUUCUCCCAUGUGAAGCCCGCAACAAGUGAUUAUAUUGUCAAAGACACUGGGAAUUGUAAUCCACAAUUUAUGAGUUGUACAAUUAAUCAGGACUGGAAAUAUUUUGAUAAAAGAAAGCAAAUGGUUUCUUGACAAGAUCACAAAGUGCCAUCACGGACUUCAUGAUGAAAUUUAAGGCUUCACCAAAUGAGAUCCCUGAAGACACUUGUUACACUUACCACAUGCAUUGAGAGAGAUCUUUGUCCAAACUCUAACUUAUUCAUUAUAAGUGGCUAUGGAAGGUUAAGCAACCAAACAAGGAAGAGAUUGAUUCAACAUCAAUGGCAGAUAUAUUCAAUUUUCAAUUACCGAAUUUUGUUUUGUGACUGGGCUAUGAUAUGUUGGAAUAGAUGAUUGAACAACCAUCUAAAAUGAGAGGGGAAAUUAAAGACAGAUGAUUGAAUGAUUGUUAAUAGAAUUACUUUGAAAAUUAUUUUUCAUUCAUGAUGUUUUAGGUAGAUGUUGUCUUUAUAUGAAUUCAAUUUGUUUGUAUGUAUGAAUGAUUAUUUUUCA